CAACUACUCCCUCUGUCCCAAAUUUCUUGUCUUAGAUUUGUCUAGAUACGGAUGUAUCUAAUACUAAAAUGUGACUUGAUACAUCCGUAUCUAGACAAAUCUAAGACAAAAUUUUUGGGACGGAGGGAGUACUUU
rnacentral:pre_miRNA from 1 species